CCCUAAAAACGGCAGACUAUUAUGCACAUGUUGGUGCAGAUUUGCGAUUGAAAGAAGCAAUUUAUCGAGAAAUUGAAGUACCAAUAGAAACUCUACAUCGGUCACCUUCUUUCCACGCUCUUAAUCCAAGGAAUUCCUUGCCAUUCUCAAAUUUAUUUCAAAUAUCACUGCUGUCUCACAGCCGCAUUUAGUUGGUAUAAAGGAAUCUACACAGCCAAGCCCAGACAGGAAUACACUGGAGGCUGGUACAGUUGGCAAUAUAGCUCAAGCAAGGCCUUCUGUUACGGAGGAAAGUGAUGUACAGUGGGCUAAAAAUGAUAAGAGAAGAUUACUUCAUGCUGUUUAUAGCGUUAGAGAUUUAGAUAAGACUAUAAAAUUCUAUACGGAGUGCCUUGGCAUGAAGGUAUUGCGGAAAAGAGACAUCCCAGAGGAGAGAUUUUCAAAUGCCUUUCUUGGUUUUGGACCCGAAGAGUCACAUUUUACGGUUGAACUUUCAUACAUCCCACAAACAUAGUAUACCCAUCUUGUUGCAUUUCAUGCUCACUUCUACAUGGAGCCAGAGACCUCAGAUAGUGGUUCGAUGACAAUUGGGGCUGCUGGUGGUCGUGGAGGUAUCGCUUCAGUAGGCGGGAGAAGUACAAGAUCUCCUACUUCUAAUUAAAUUGUGCGACCUCUUCCUGGCCUGAAAGAUAAAGUUAAGAAUGUCAUGUUUUAAGAACGUUAAGAACGUUACUAUUGGGCCUCGGAGCCUCAGAGUUUGGCUACUAAAUGUUUUAUGAAGAAACUUAUUCAUCAGAAAAUGAGGAUGAGGUUAGAGACAUGUGGGUCGAGUAUUUGCUCAAGCAUGAAGCAGAUGAAGAAAACCAAGUUGAUGGUAUGAAAAUAACUCCACGAGUUUUGGUUCUAAUUGUUGGUAAAAUUGGCAUGAAUGAUUAUAUUUUGGAAUUGAUUUUUGUUUUACGUUUUUGGAAAUUGCGAUGUAAAUCUUUGACGUUUAUGCAAAUUACAAUUUAUGUAAAGCUUGCGUUUUGAGCAUUACUUGUGGGAAAUA